AGAUGUGAGGGCAAUCUGGCUGAGACAUCUGUCAUUCCAUUGAUCGCCAGGGUUGAUUUGAUCUGGCUGGCUAAGUGGGUGUCCCCUUCCUCCCUUACCUCUCUGUGUGUUCCCCCCGAAGCUGCACACUUGGUCAAAGAGGAUAACCUUCCCCAUAGAGGAGGACCAUUCUUAGGUCGAGGGUGUCUGGGUAGUUGCACUCCCCUGCUAGAAUCUCCGAACAAGCUCUCAAGGUCCAUUUGUAGAAGAACGUAUGGUAAUCAAGCUUCCAAGACUCCAGACAUAUCCAAAUGAGGUGCUACAUGUGACAGUCUGCCUUUCUUU
rnacentral:snRNA from 1 species